rnacentral:rRNA from 1 species
AACGAACGCUGGCGGCAGGCCUAACACAUGCAAGUCGAGCGCGCCCUUCGGGGUGAGCGGCGGACCGGUGAGUAACGCGUGGGAACGUGCCCUUUUCUACGGAAUAGCCUCGGGAAACUGAGAGUAAUACCGUAUACGCCCUUUGGGGGAAAGAUUUAUCGGAAAAGGAUCGGCCCGCGUUGGAUUAGGUAGUUGGUGGGGUAAUGGCCUACCAAGCCGACGAUCCAUAGCUGGUUUGAGAGGAUGAUCAGCCACACUGGGACUGAGACACGGCCCAGACUCCUACGGGAGGCAGCAGUGGGGAAUCUUAGACAAUGGGGGCAACCCUGAUCUAGCCAUGCCGGGUGAGUGAUGAAGGCAUUAGGGUUGUAAAGCUCUUUCAGCUGGGAAGAUAAUGACGGUACCAGCAGAAGAAGCCCCGGCUAACUCCGUG